UACGUAGGGGGCGAGCGUUGUCCGGAUUUAUUGGGCGUAAAGAGCUCGUAGGCGGUUUGUCGCGUCUGCUGUGAAAACGCGAGGCUUAACCUCGCGCCUGCAGUGGGUACGGGCAGACUAGAGUGCGGUAGGGGAGACUGGAAUUCCUGGUGUAGCGGUGGAAUGCGCAGAUAUCAGGAGGAACACCGGUGGCGAAGGCGGGUCUCUGGGCCGUUACUGACGCUGAGGAGCGAAAGCAUGGGGAGCGAACAGG
rnacentral:rRNA from 1 species